rfam:Aspergillus nomius NRRL 13137 contig00120, whole genome shotgun sequence.
GCCCUUGUAGCUCAGUGGGAGAGCGCAUCACUCGUAGCCUUAGGCAUCCUGCCUUUGAAGUUGACAUGAUGAGGUCCGCGGUUCAAUCCCGCGCGGGGGCA